rnacentral:sRNA from 2 species
UUCUGCUGAGGAUUUUUCAGCAGAAAACGGGGGAACCAAGCCUGACUUGUAAAAGUCUCGGGGCUAAUAUCCUGAUUUCUGGGGAUAAGAGGCGCACUCUCCUCUAGUCCGACAGCUAACUCUGUAAAUUCAGAAGAGAGAGUCG